GGCCUUGACAUACUAAGAACUUUCCAGAGAUGGAUUGGUGCCUUCGGGAACUUAGAUACAGGUGCUGCAUGGCUGUCGUCAGCUCGUGUCGUGAGAUGUUGGGUUAAGUCCCGNAACGAGCGCAACCUUUUCCUAUUUGCCAGCGGGUCAUGCCGGGAACUUUAAGGAUACUGCCAGUGACAAACUGGAGGAAGGCGGGGACGACGUCAAGUCAUCAUGGCCCUUACGGCCAGGGCUACACACGUGCUACAAUGGUCGGUACAAAGGGUUGCUACCUCGCGAGAGGAUGCUAAUCUCAAAAAGCCGAUCGUAGUCCGGAUCGCAGUCUGCAACUCGACUGCGUGAAGUCGGAAUCGCUAGUAAUCGCGGAUCAGAAUGCCGCGGUGAAUACGUUCCCGGGCCUUGUACACACCGCCCGUCACACCAUGGGAGUUUGUUGCACCAGAAGUAGGUAGUCUAACCGCAAGGAGGACACUUACCACGGUGUGGCCGAUGACUGGGGUGAAGUCGUAACAAGGUAGGCGUAGAUGA
rnacentral:rRNA from 1 species